GUGUGUGUAAAAGGUUCUACACUAGGACCCAGUGUUUUUCUUGUGGGGAAGCCGGCUCAAGACUGAGUCAUUGUCUGAGAGGGGACAGUCAUCAGAACAGGAUAACAUGAUGGUUGACUAGUGGAGAAAUGCUGCACUCAACUAUGGAACCCAGGAAAGUUCUUCCUUUCUUGCCAUCCGGACCUGAGCCCUAGGACCAUGCCCCAGGACUACCUGACAUGAUGACUCCUUGCUGUCCCCAGUCCACCUGGCCAUGCUGCUGCUCCAGUUUCAACUGACCUGAGCCCUAGGACCAUGUCCCAGGACUACCUGACAUGAUGACUCCUUGCUGUCCCCAGUCCACCUGGCCAUGCUGCUGCUCCAGUUUCAACUGACCUGAGCCCUAGGACCAUGUCCCAGGACUACCUGACAUGAUGACUCCUUGCUGUCCCCAGUCCACCUGGCCAUGCUGCUGCUCCAGUUUCAACUUCCAGCUGACUGUGCUGCUGCUCCAGUUUCAACUGUUCUGCCUUAUUAUUAUUCGACCAUGCUGGUCAUUUAUGAACAUUUGAACAUCUUGGCCAUGUUCUGUUAUAAUCUCCACCCGGCACAGCCAGAAGAGGACUGGCCACCCCACAUAGCCUGGUUCCUCUCUAGGUUUCUUCCUAGGUUUUGGCCUUUUCUAGGGAGUUUUUCCUAGCCACCGUGCUUCUACACCUGCAUUGCUUGCUGUUUGGGGUUUUAGGCUGGGUUUCUGUACAGCACUUUGAGAUAUCAGCUGAUGUACGAAGGGCUAUAUAAAUAAAUUUGAUUUGGUUUGAUUUGAUCCAAAUGUGCAAAUUGUCCAAACAGAUCCUCAAGGUAGAUGGAUUAUUUUAAAUAUGUUAUCGGACAAUAAACAGAUAUGGCUUAUUAA